rnacentral:lncRNA from 1 species
GGUGGUUGCCUGUGACGUCACCGGACGCGCCCGCUUCUCGCUGGAGUGCGCACCGAGCGGCAGUGACUUCGCCGCUGCUGUAGUUCCCCGGCUGGAUGCGGUGACUGGUGCCAGUGCUCAGGCGCCCGCUGCCCUUGACCUCCCGCCCCGCGAGCCCUAACUCAGCGCAGGAGGACCGGCUGCCGCCGCCGCCGCCGCCAGGAGGUAGAUUGGGAAGUGGAGCUGGCCGUGGUCAUUGGAAAGAAAGGCAAGCACAUCAAGGUGAAGUGGAAAAGAUCCACACAACUUAAAGAUCUGCUGUCGAGUGAAUGGGGAAGUGGUCCAGAGCAGCAACACCAACCAGAUGGUAUUCAAGACAGAGGACCUGAUAGCCUGGGUGUCCCAGUUUGUUACCUUUUACCCAGGGGAUGUCAUCCUGACUGGGACCCCCCCACCUCCACCCAGGUGUCGGUGUAUUCAGGAAACCUCCUGUCUUUCUCAAGGUCUCUGAAGGUCCAGACAGCACUGAUGGCGAGCUUUGGGUCCGCACACUCUGGAAAGAAGAGAGAAGUGAAGGCUCUAGGUAGGGAGAACAGAGAGCCACUGGGCACAGGCUUCUCUCCUCUUGUUUAAAGAAGCCCAGGGAGGGAUAGAGCUCUGACUGGACAGAAGACUGUACUCUGCAGCCUGCCUUCCUAGAGUUGGGUUGUCACUGUCCUGCAGGGGGCAGCAGCCACCAGCAAACACCACUGCCUGCAGGAGCCUGGGCUGACUGGUUGGGACUCACCGAAGAUCCCUUCUUCCUGGGCGGUGGCCUGCAGGAACUGGAACAGCUGCUCUGUGUAGCCCAACUCUGCAGAAGAGAGAAGACCUAGACCUGGCACCCAGCACAGACACAGCCUGCCUCGAGGACUGCAAGGGAACAAGGGCCUCACCAGUAUCGGGCAGCUGGCCCUGGCGGAGGAAGGCGGCAGCCUGUGCAAAGGCCUUGAGCAGCGGGCUGAGCAGGCGGCAGAGGAAAAGAAAGAAAUCUGGGCAGUGUGACUGCUGGCUGAGCUGGAGGGGACAGGCCGGGGUGAGUGCAGCUCCCCACCGCCUCCCUACCACCUCCCUCCAGGGGCAGCUUUUUGAAACACACCCUGAAGUACCGGCCGUCAGCCUCUCCGAAGUCAUCACUGUCACUAUCAGUAAAGUCCCCACUCGGUUUCCACAGCA